rnacentral:rRNA from 1 species
GAUGAACGCUGGCGGCGUGCUUAACACAUGCAAGUCGAACGGAAAGGCUCCUGCUUGCAGGGGUACUCGAGUGGCGAACGGGUGAGUAACACGUGGGUGAUCUGCCCUGUACUUCGGGAUAAGCCUGGGAAACUGGGUCUAAUACCGGAUAGGACGAUGGUUUGGAUGCCAUUGUGGAAAAUUUUUCGGUUUGGGAUGAGCUCGCGGCCUAUCAGCUUGUUGGUGGGGUAAUGGCAUACUAAGGCGUCGACGGGUAGCCGGCCUGAGAGGGUGCACGGCCACAUUGGGCCUGAGAUACGGACCAGACUCCUACGGGAGGCAGCAGUGGGGAAUAUUGCACAAUGAGCGCAAGCCAGAUGCAGAGACGCUGCGUGGGGGAUGACGGCCUUCGGGUUAUAAACACCUUUCGAUAGAAACGAAGAGCAAGUGACGGUACCUGGAGAAGAAGCACCGGCUAACUACGUG